rnacentral:tRNA from 1 species
AUUGUUUUGGCAGACUAGUGUAUUGGUUUUAGAGUCCAAUUAAAUAUAUAAAAUUUAUAUAGACAAUA